GAUGCGCUGGAUUUUCAAUUUGUGCUGUGUGAUCCGGAGAUGUACAGUACUGUAAGCACGGUGUGUUUGACCUUCAUACAAACAUCUGGCCUCUCUGGGUAUUAUGAUGUACCAGGAUGAGGGCAUGUCACACAACCUGUCCAUGUUGGCAUCUGCCUCGUUUGGCUGCUUGCAGAUCAGUUGUGCCAAAACACCAUAGAGUUUGAUCGCACACACACAUUUUGACGUCAACAGCAAAACAUAUGGGAGAUAUUUUUCCCUCCUGCCUUUUAGAUUCUUC
rnacentral:lncRNA from 1 species